AGCUCCUCGCCUUCCUCCAGCUUGUCCACCCCUGGUUGCCACACCGUUGUGGGCAUUGACGGUAUAGAAGACGAAGAAGAUGAUCCAUCUCCUUUCUUUGAGCCCUUGUUUUUUCUCUUGGCCUUUUUAGGGUUUUUGACGCUGCGAACCAUUUUUGCAGUUUCUAGGGUUCAGAGGAGAAGUCGUGCUGCAAGUGAAGUGAAGGAGAU
rnacentral:misc_RNA from 1 species